GUUGAUAGGGUGUCUGGUGUGCAUAUCGGUUUUUCGUGUCGGGGGUGGCUUGUUGGGUCUGUCAAUA
rnacentral:tRNA from 1 species